GUGCGGAACGCGUAUGGAACCUACCUCAAUCGGGGGGAUAGCCCAGGGAAACUUGGAUUAAUACCCCAUAGUAUUGUUUUAUUGCAUGAUAGAACAAUUAAAACUUCGGUGGAUUGAGAUGGCCAUGCGUAUCAUUAGCUAGUUGGUAAGGUAACGGCUUACCAAGGCAACGAUGAUUAGGGGCCCUGAGAGGGGGAUCCCCCACACUGGUACUGAGACACGGACCAGACUCCUACGGGAGGCAGCAGUGAGGAAUAUUGGACAAUGGUCGAAAGACUGAUCCAGCCAUGCCGCGUGCAGGAUGACUGCCCUAUGGGUUGUAAACUGCUUUUGUACGAGAAGAACACCCUCUUCGUGAAGAGGACUGACGGUAUCGUACGAAUAAGGACCGGCUAACUCCGUGCCAGCAGCCGCGGUAAUACGGAGGGUCCGAGCGUUAUUCGGAAUCAUUGGGUUUAAAGGGUCCGUAGGCGGGCUAUUAAGUCAGAGGUGAAAUUGUGCAGCUCAACUGUAGAACUGCCUUUGAUACUGAUAGUCUUGAGUUAUGGUGAGGUAGCCGGAACAUGUGGUGUAGCGGUGAAAUGCAUAGAUAUCACAUAGAACGCCGAUUGCGAAGGCAGGUUACCAACCAUAUACUGACGCUGAUGGACGAAAGCGUGGGGAGCGAACGGGAUUAGAUACCCCGGUAGUCCACGCCGUAAACGAUGGAUACUAGCUGUUGGGUUUUCGGACUCAGCGGCCAAGCGAAAGUGAUAAGUAUCCCACCUGGGGAGUACGUUCGCAAGAAUGAAACUCAAAGGAAUUGACGGGGGCCCGCACAAGCGGU
rnacentral:rRNA from 1 species